GACGAACGCUGGCGGCGUGCCUAAUACAUGCAAGUAGAACGCACAGUUUAUACCGUAGCUUGCUACACCAUAGACUGUGAGUUGCGAACGGGUGAGUAACGCGUAGGUAACCUGCCUGGUAGCGGGGGAUAACUAUUGGAAACGAUAGCUAAUACCGCAUAAUAUUGAUUAUUGCAUGAUAAUUGAUUGAAAGAUGCUAUUGCAUCACUACCAGAUGGACCUGCGUUGUAUUAGCUAGUAGGUGAGGUAACGGCUCACCUAGGCGACGAUACAUAGCCGACCUGAGAGGGUGAUCGGCCACACUGGGACUGAGACACGGCCCAGACUCCUACGGGAGGCAGCAGUAGGGAAUCUUCGGCAAUGGACGAAAGUCUGACCGAGCAACGCCGCGUGAGUGAAGAAGGGUUUCGGAUCGGAAAGCUCUGUUGUAAGAGAAGAACGGGUGUGAGAGUGGAAAGUUCACACUGUGACGGUAUCUUACCAGAAAGGGACGGCUAACUACGUG
rnacentral:rRNA from 1 species